rnacentral:lncRNA from 1 species
AACCAGAGAGCAACCUCUGUCAGGUGAAGUCCACAAAACAUAUUGCAUGUAACAAGACAGUUGUUACAUAACCUACAGCAUCGUCAAGCAAGACGUGAGGAGUCCCCCAGCCUACUGGAUGUCGUGUGGUCACCCCUAUGACGAGAGGACCGUGUGGAACCCCAAGUUCUGUGUGGUCACUGACUGUCAGAUGCUGCUCCUGGACAAAGAGGAGAAGUUUUUGUUUCAGGAGCAGAGGUCAGAUUCAUGUAAGGUCCGACAGCUGAGACGCACCAUCAGCGUUCCCGUAGAAACCAACUUCCACAGCCCAGAGUUCCACAGCCAGCUGUCCAUCGAGAGCAGUGAGUACACACACACACACACACACACACACACACACACACACACACACACACACAUUGUAUUUAUUUUGUAAUACUCUUUCACAUCCACUAGAGGGUAAGCUUGCAUUUUUCCUCAACUCAGCUCUGGUUUUGUACUCUGAUGUAGUGGGAAAAUAUUGUUGAUAUGGAAAAUCUGAGACCAGUGAUAAGAAAUGUAAUAUUGCUUUGCCUUUAAGAAUGGUUGUUUAAGAUAGUUGUUUUUUGUCCUUUGUUUUUCUGCUUUUUCUAAAUGUGUUUUCUUCUCCUUUAUUGAAUCCAUUAAGUGUGUAUUUUUAGUUUGACUGCAAAACAUGUCUGUUUUAAAAAGGCAUUUAUCCCUUCUAUGAAGCUGAGGAAAAUAUUUUACAUCAACAAUACCUUACCUGUGACAAUACCUGUGACACAGCACAUUUACAUCUACAAUGUCUGCAUAGGGUCCCUUUCAUUCAGUAAUAGUAUAUCAACGUUGGCUCAACAUUGGCUCAACCCUUCAUCAACCUUGUGUCAACAGUUUCCAAAUGUUGUCCCAUCUACAGUGUGUCAGUUUAGAGUCAACACAUAUUUUUAUUCCACUCACUGUCUCACUCAAUUAAAACAAAUUGGAAACAUAGUAUGACAAAGUACAAAGUAGUAGCAUAACAAUCAGUUGUUCAAUUGUGUACGGUAGACAGUAAGCAGGCUAAGCAUCUUUGGCUUGUAUUACAAUAUGUUAUCACAU